rnacentral:rRNA from 1 species
UACGGAGGGUGCAAGCGUUAUCCGGAAUCAUUGGGUUUAAAGGGUCCGCAGGCGGUUCUAUAAGUCAGUGGUGAAAUCUCUCGGCUCAACCGAGAAACUGCCAUUGAUACUGUAGGACUUGAAUUCGGUCGAAGUGGGCGGAAUAUGACAUGUAGCGGUGAAAUGCUUAGAUAUGUCAUAGAACACCGAUAGCGAAGGCAGCUCACUAGGCCUGGAUUGACGCUCAGGGACGAAAGCUAGGGGAGGCAAAUGGG